rnacentral:misc_RNA from 1 species
CAUCCUCAACCUUCUUGGUCUUUUAUUGACUUUAGAAGGCUUGGACUUGGGGGUUUUUGCUGGCCUUAUUUUUAAAAGCCAGCUCCUCCUAAAUGCAUUAGUAGGGUCUACAUUGUCGAUCCUCGACGUUGAUAAGAUGCUUCUACGUCUUGGUUACCUUUUGUAGCCUGCUUCUAACCGUCUCAUUGGAGACAAAGCGGCUCAAGUUUUCACUUGAACCCACAAACCA